UUAAGCGACUAAGCGUACACGGUGGAUGCCCUGGCAGUCAGAGGCGAUGAAGGACGUGCUAAUCUGCGAUAAGCGUCGGUAAGGUGAUAUGAACCGUUAUAACCGGCGAUUUCCGAAUGGGGAAACCCAGUGUGAUUCGUCACACUAUCAUUAACUGAAUCCAUAGGUUAAUGAGGCGAACCGGGGGAACUGAAACAUCUAAGUACCCCGAGGAAUAGAAAUCAACCGAGAUUCCCCCAGUAGCGGCGAGCGAACGGGGAGCAGCCCAGAGCCUGAAUCAGUGUGUGUGUUAGUGGAAGCGUCUGGAAAGGCGCGCGAUACAGGGUGACAGCCCCGUACACAAAAAUGCACAUGCUGUGAGCUCGAUGAGUAGGGCGGGACACGUGGUAUCCUGUCUGAAUAUGGGGGGACCAUCCUCCAAGGCUAAAUACUCCUGACUGACCGAUAGUGAACCAGUACCGUGAGGGAAAGGCGAAAAGAACCCCGGCGAGGGGAGUGAAAAAGAACCUGAAACCGUGUACGUACAAGCAGUGGGAGCACGCUUAGGCGUGUGACUGCGUACCUUUUGUAUAAUGGGUCAGCGACUUAUAUUCUGUAGCAAGGUUAACCGAAUAGGGGAGCCGAAGGGAAACCGAGUCUUAACUGGGCGUUAAGUUGCAGGGUAUAGACCCGAAACCCGGUGAUCUAGCCAUGGGCAGGUUGAAGGUUGGGUAACACUAACUGGAGGACCGAACCGACUAAUGUUGAAAAAUUAGCGGAUGACUUGUGGCUGGGGGUGAAAGGCCAAUCAAACCGGGAGAUAGCUGGUUCUCCCCGAAAGCUAUUUAGGUAGCGCCUCGUGAAUUCAUCUCCGGGGGUAGAGCACUGUUUCGGCAAGGGGGUCAUCCCGACUUACCAACCCGAUGCAAACUACGAAUACCGGAGAAUGUUAUCACGGGAGACACACGGCGGGUGCUAACGUCCGUCGUGAAGAGGGAAACAACCCAGACCGCCAGCUAAGGUCCCAAAGUCAUGGUUAAGUGGGAAACGAUGUGGGAAGGCCCAGACAGCCAGGAUGUUGGCUUAGAAGCAGCCAUCAUUUAAAGAAAGCGUAAUAGCUCACUGGUCGAGUCGGCCUGCGCGGAAGAUGUAACGGGGCUAAACCAUGCACCGAAGCUGCGGCAGCGACGCUGAUGCGUUGUUGGGUAGGGGAGCGUUCUGUAAGCCUGCGAAGGUGUGCUGUGAGGCAUGCUGGAGGUAUCAGAAGUGCGAAUGCUGACAUAAGUAACGAUAAAGCGGGUGAAAAGCCCGCUCGCCGGAAGACCAAGGGUUCCUGUCCAACGUUAAUCGGGGCAGGGUGAGUCGACCCCUAAGGCGAGGCCGAAAGGCGUAGUCGAUGGGAAACAGGUUAAUAUUCCUGUACUUGGUGUUACUGCGAAGGGGGGACGGAGAAGGCUAUGUUGGCCGGGCGACGGUUGUCCCGGUUUAAGCGUGUAGGCUGGUUUUCCAGGCAAAUCCGGAAAAUCAAGGCUGAGGCGUGAUGACGAGGCACUACGGUGCUGAAGCAACAAAUGCCCUGCUUCCAGGAAAAGCCUCUAAGCAUCAGGUAACAUCAAAUCGUACCCCAAACCGACACAGGUGGUCAGGUAGAGAAUACCAAGGCGCUUGAGAGAACUCGGGUGAAGGAACUAGGCAAAAUGGUGCCGUAACUUCGGGAGAAGGCACGCUGAUAUGUAGGUGAAGUCCCUCGCGGAUGGAGCUGAAAUCAGUCGAAGAUACCAGCUGGCUGCAACUGUUUAUUAAAAACACAGCACUGUGCAAACACGAAAGUGGACGUAUACGGUGUGACGCCUGCCCGGUGCCGGAAGGUUAAUUGAUGGGGUUAGCGCAAGCGAAGCUCUUGAUCGAAGCCCCGGUAAACGGCGGCCGUAACUAUAACGGUCCUAAGGUAGCGAAAUUCCUUGUCGGGUAAGUUCCGACCUGCACGAAUGGCGUAAUGAUGGCCAGGCUGUCUCCACCCGAGACUCAGUGAAAUUGAACUCGCUGUGAAGAUGCAGUGUACCCGCGGCAAGACGGAAAGACCCCGUGAACCUUUACUAUAGCUUGACACUGAACAUUGAGCCUUGAUGUGUAGGAUAGGUGGGAGGCUUUGAAGUGUGGACGCCAGUCUGCAUGGAGCCGACCUUGAAAUACCACCCUUUAAUGUUUGAUGUUCUAACGUGGACCCGUAAUCCGGGUUGCGGACAGUGUCUGGUGGGUAGUUUGACUGGGGCGGUCUCCUCCUAAAGAGUAACGGAGGAGCACGAAGGUUGGCUAAUCCUGGUCGGACAUCAGGAGGUUAGUGCAAUGGCAUAAGCCAGCUUGACUGCGAGCGUGACGGCGCGAGCAGGUGCGAAAGCAGGUCAUAGUGAUCCGGUGGUUCUGAAUGGAAGGGCCAUCGCUCAACGGAUAAAAGGUACUCCGGGGAUAACAGGCUGAUACCGCCCAAGAGUUCAUAUCGACGGCGGUGUUUGGCACCUCGAUGUCGGCUCAUCACAUCCUGGGGCUGAAGUAGGUCCCAAGGGUAUGGCUGUUCGCCAUUUAAAGUGGUACGCGAGCUGGGUUUAGAACGUCGUGAGACAGUUCGGUCCCUAUCUGCCGUGGGCGCUGGAGAAUUGAGGGGGGCUGCUCCUAGUACGAGAGGACCGGAGUGGACGCAUCACUGGUGUUCGGGUUGUCAUGCCAAUGGCACUGCCCGGUAGCUAAAUGCGGAAGAGAUAAGUGCUGAAAGCAUCUAAGCACGAAACUUGCCCCGAGAUGAGUUCUCCCUGACUCCUUGAGAGUCCUGAAGGAACGUUGAAGACGACGACGUUGAUAGGCCGGGUGUGUAAGCGCAGCGAUGCGUUGAGCUAACCGGUACUAAUGAACCGUGAGGCUUAACCUU
rnacentral:rRNA from 1 species